rnacentral:rRNA from 1 species
UAAGGUAAUACUUACUGGAGGUCCGAACCCACGCACGUUGAAAAGUGCGGGGAUGAGGUGUGGGUAGCGGAGAAAUUCCAAUCGAACUUGGAGAUAGCUGGUUCUCUCCGAAAUAGCUUUAGGGCUAGCCUCGAGGUAAAGAGUCAUGGAGGUAGAGCACUGUUUGGACUAGGGGCCCUUCUCGGGUUACCGAAUUCAGAUAAACUCCGAAUGCCAUGUACUUAUACUCGGGAGUCAGACUGCGAGUGAUAAGAUCCGUAGUCGAAAGGGAAACAGCCCAGACCACCAGUUAAGGUCCCCAAAUAUAUGUUAAGUGGAAAAGGAUGUGGGGUUGCUUAGACAACCAGGAUGUUGGCUUAGAAGCAGCCACCAUUGAAAGAGUGCGUAAUAGCUCACUGGUCGAGUGACCCCGCGCCGAAAAUGUACCGGGGCUAAACAUAUUACCGAAACUGUGGAUGAACCUCUUUAGAGGUUCGUGGUAGGAGAGCGUUCUAAGGGCGGUGAAGUCAGACCGGAAGGACUGGUGGAGCGCUUAGAAGUGAGAAUGCCGGUAUGAGUAGCGAAAGAAGGGUGAGAAUCCCUUCCACCGAAUAUCUAAGGUUUCCUGAGGAAGGCUCGUCCGCUCAGGGUUAGUCGGGACCUAAGCCGAGGCCGAUAGGCGUAGGCGAUGGACAACAGGUAGAGAUUCCUGUACCAGUGCUAAUUGUUUAACCGAUGGGGUGACACAGAAGGAUAGGGAAUCGCACGAAUGGAAAUGUGCGUCCAAGCAGUGAGUGUGAGAAGUAGGCAAAUCCGCUUCUCGCGAAGCAUGAGCUGUGAUGGGGAAGGAAAUUAAGUACGGAAGUUCCUGAUUUCACGCUGUCAAGAAAAGCCUCUAGGAAGAGUAGUACUGCCCGUACCGCAAACCGACACAGGUAGAUGAGGAGAGAAUCCUAAGGUGAGCGAGAGAACUCUCGUUAAGGAACUCGGCAAAAUGACCCCGUAACUUCGGGAGAAGGGGUGCUCUAUUAGGGUGCAAGCCCGAGAGAGCCGCAGUGAAUAGGCCCAGGCGACUGUUUAGCAAAAACACAGGUCUCUGCAAAACCGUAAGGUGACGUAUAGGGGCUGACGCCUGCCCGGUGCUGGAAGGUUAAGAGGAGUGCUUAGCUUCGGCGAAGGUACGAAUUGAAGCCCCAGUAAACGGCGGCCGUAACUAUAACGGUCCUAAGGUAGCGAAAUUCCUUGUCGGGUAAGUUCCGACCCGCACGAAAGGCGCAACGAUCUGGGCACUGUCUCAACGAGAGACUCGGUGAAAUUAUAGUACCUGUGAAGAUGCAGGUUACCCGCGACAGGACGGAAAGACCCCGUGGAGCUUUACUGCAACCUGAUAUGGAAUGUUUGUACCGCUUGUACAGGAUAGGUAGGAGCCGAAGAGACGUGUGCGCUAGCAUACGAGGAGGCAAUGGUGGGAUACUACCCUGGCUGUAUGACCAUUCUAACCCGCCACGCUUAGCGCGUGGGGAGACAGUGUCAGGUGGGCAGUUUGACUGGGGCGGUCGCCUCCUAAAGAGUAACGGAGGCGCCCAAAGGUUCCCUCAGAAUGGAUGGAAAUCAUUCGCAGAGUGUAAAGGCACAAGGGAGCUUGACUGCGAGACUGACAAGUCGAGCAGGGACGAAAGUCGGGCUUAGUGAUCCGGUGGUUCCGCAUGGAAGGGCCAUCGCUCAACGGAUAAAAGCUACCCCGGGGAUAACAGGCUUAUCUCCCCCAAGAGUCCACAUCGACGGGGAGGUUUGGCACCUCGAUGUCGGCUCGUCGCAUCCUGGGGCUGUAGUCGGUCCCAAGGGUUGGGCUGUUCGCCCAUUAAAGCGGCACGCGAGCUGGGUUCAGAACGUCGUGAGACAGUUCGGUCCCUAUCCGUCGCGGGCGCAGGAAAUUUGAGAGGAGCUGUCCUUAGUACGAGAGGACCGGGAUGGACACACCGCUGGUGUACCAGUUGUUCCGCCAGGAGCAUCGCUGGGUAGCUAUGUGUGGCAGGGAUAAACGCUGAAAGCAUCUAAGCGUGAAGCCCCCCUCAAGAUGAGAUUUCCCAUUUCUUCGGAAAGUAAGAUCCCUGAAAGAUGAUCAGGUAGAUAGGUUUGGAGUGGAAGUGUAGCGAUACAUGGAGCGGACAAAUACUAAUCGAUCGAGGACUUAACCAAAA